rnacentral:rRNA from 1 species
UAGGGUAUCUUCCGCAAUGGACGAAAGUCUGACGGAGCAACGCCGCGUGAGUGAAGAAGGUUUUCGGUUCGUAACACUCUGUUGUUAGGGAAGAAAAAAUGUAUAGUAACUAUAUACAAAAGAGACGGUACCUAACCAGAAAGCCACGGCUAACUACGUGCCAGCAGCCGCGGUAAUACGUAGGUGGCAAGCGUUGUCCGGAAUUAUUGGGCGUAAAGCGCGCGCAGGUGGUUUAGAAAGUCUGAUGUGAAAGCCCACGGCUCAACCGUGGAGGGUCAUUGGAAACUAAUAAACUUGAGUGCAGGAGAGAAAAGUGGAAUUCCUAGUGUAGCGGUGAAAUGCGUAGAGAUUAGGGGGAACACCGGUGGCGAAAGCGGCUUUUUGGCCUGCAACUGACACUGAGGGGCGAAAGCGUGGGGAGCAAACAGG